rnacentral:rRNA from 1 species
GACGAACGCUGGCGGCGUGCUUAACACAUGCAAGUCGAACGGAAAGGCCCUGCUUUUGUGGGGUGCUCGAGUGGCGAACGGGUGAGUAACACGUGAGUAACCUGCCCUUGACUUUGGGAUAACUUCAGGAAACUGGGGCUAAUACCGGAUAGGAGCUCCUGCUGCAUGGUGGGGGUUGGAAAGUUUCGGCGGUUGGGGAUGGACUCGCGGCUUAUCAGCUUGUUGGUGGGGUAGUGGCUUACCAAGGCUUUGACGGGUAGCCGGCCUGAGAGGGUGACCGGCCACAUGGGGACUGAGAGACGGCCCAGACUCCUACGGGAGGCAGCAGUGGGGAAUAUUGCACAAUGGGCGGAAGCCUGAGGCAGCAACGCCGCGUGCGGGAUGACGGCCUUCGGGUUGUAAACCGCUUUCGCCGGUGACGAAGCGAGAGUGACGGUAAUGGGUAAAGAAGCACCGGCUAACUACGUG